rnacentral:rRNA from 1 species
AAACCAACCGGGAUUGCCCUAGUAACGGCGAGUGAAGCGGCAAGAGCUCAAAUUUGAAAGCUGGCCCCCGCGGGGUCCGCAUUGUAAUUUGCAGAGGAUGCUUCGGGAGCGGUCCCCAUCUAAGUGCCCUGGAACGGGCCGUCAUAGAGGGUGAGAAUCCCGUAUGGGAUGGGGUGCCCGCGCCCGUGUGAAGCUCCUUCGACGAGUCGAGUUGUUUGGGAAUGCAGCUCUAAUUGGGUGGUAAAUUUCAUCUAAAGCUAAAUAUUGGCCGGAGACCGAUAGCGCACAAGUAGAGUGAUCGAAAGAUGAAAAGCACUUUGAAAAGAGAGUUAAAAAGCACGUGAAAUUGUUGAAAGGGAAGCGCUUGCGAUCAGACUCGCCUGCGGGGUUCAGCCGGCCUUCGGGCCGGUGUACUUCCCCGCGGGCGGGCCAGCGUCGGUUUGGGCGGCCGGUCAAAGGCCCCUGGAAUGUAACGCCUCUCGGGGCGUCUUAUAGCCAGGGGUGCCAUGCGGCCUGCCCGGACCGAGGAACGCGCUUCGGCUCGGACGCUGGCAUAAUGGUCGUAAGCGAC